GGAUCAUUCCGAGUUUCUUGAGUAAGCGCAAACCAUAGAAAUACCCGUCUUGCCUGCCUUUUAUUUUGACACUUGGUUUUGAGCGCCUUGUUGGGCUAGCAGUUGUAGAAGAGAGAAUCAACAUAUUCAAACACAGGAGAAAUGAUUUCUUUGUUGUGGUAAUAUUUUUUUUUAUACAAGUCUUGUUCUAUCCUUAUUUCUUCCUGGUAAUUUUCCUCAACAUUAUUCCAAGUACAAUGAUUUCGAGGU
rnacentral:misc_RNA from 1 species